rnacentral:ncRNA from 1 species
AUCCGGGUAGCCGAAAACGGGCAAUAGAGUAGGCA